GUCGACCCCUGCAUCGCUCGGGUGACCUGCACGCCUCCUCCUCCUCCUCCCCCUCCGCCGUGCUGCUGCUGCUGCUGCCCGCAAGGCUGCCCGGCCAGCAAGGUGUUGCCCAGAUGCAGGCUCGUGCUGCUCCACUGAUGCGCGCGUCUUCCCGACUCCUUGCAGCUCAAGUCGUCUUGGCUCGGGUUGUUGCAGUCACCGAUGUCUUCCUCGGAAGCGCCGCUGCUGUUGCUGUCUCCCGCAUAGCCAGCAGCAGCUGCCGCAGCAGCGGCCACGGACUGCAGCUGUAGCGUGGUGAAGUAUGGUCAAACCCUCACCCCGCCUCACGACAGACACGGGGCAUGGGGGAGGUCUUCAUCCAGCAGCGGACUGAAAAGGUAACAUUUUUAUUAUGAUCUCAGUAAACACCACGUGUAUUAAACCGUAUAUCUCUCUCGCCGACUUCAGCUUUUUUCUUGCUGUGAUUGUUCCACCUGAUGAAGAUUGCUUGUGUUGCGAUCGAAACGUCGUGACUUGUUUUUAUUUUAUUUCUACCUACGCGACUUUACCGAAAGAAUCAAAGAGUAUGCAUAUGUUUAACAUUGCACAUGCAUUGCCUUUGCAUGUAGACAUGUGUACAGCACUCUUACAGUCAUGUGGGUUUUAAAUCAGAAUAUAUGAUCUGUUGUUUGUGGCAAUACCGAAUACGUAAAAACAUUGCACGGUUUUAGUAAAGCCCAUAUAACCCCCGCCGUAAAAAAAUCCAACAAAGGAAUUUGAAGAAGCUGCAUACGGGUCAUACUAUUCAAACACGCGUCUGUGCUAUGAAUGCAAAUCCUCUUCACUAAACAGUUCGAUACCACGUAUAUACGUGUUGUGCGGUUAUAAUAAUAAUAAUAACCGUCAUGUCGUAUAAUCUUAUUAUGCUCCUGUUGUAAAGAAAAUAUAAUUUAAUCCCUUUGUCAUUCCACUGCUGUAUAAAGUCAUCUGCGCAUCCUAUCAAUAAUUCAUUUUAACGAUAGAAUGCUUUAAAGAUUUGUUUAAUAUUUUAUAAACUACAUAGGUGUGUGCACUUAUUUUGAACAAUGUAAUUUUUGCAAACAACAAAUAUUAAACCCAUUACAAUGUUAUCACCAUCAUCAUCGGACAUGAUCGAUCCGCUUCUGGAUGAAGGAAUCCCCAAGUCAACACCACAUCUGACGAUCCUGCCAUGUCAUAACCCAACCUCGAACCUGCACAUGAACUGAUUUAAUCGCUCCAUCUCCACGAUGGACGUUCUCUCUACGUAUAUCAUCUAGACGGGUGUUAUUCACUGCAAGGACCGCGGGCCACUGGUGGACCCCAGGUGGCCUUCAGUCCGGCCUCUGACGUGAAAACACCCCCCCCAUCAUGCUGUCAAACCCCCCCGUGGUUUCAAAUGUGUGGCGGCCCUCGCACUGAUGCCUUAUCGGCGAAAAUGCCCCCGCCCCCUCGCCACCCGCCUCUGAAAAUCAGUGAAGAACCCUGAUCUAGACACGAUAAAAUUCCAGUUGGUGGGACUGUUGCAGAAGGGCUAUAAAACUAUGGCCGAAAAGAUGUAUGCAUUACUCGAUGUAAAUGAAAACUCGCGGCGUAAGAACUCUGUGUGCCUUGACCACAUUUCACGGCCAUAAUUUCACACGUUGGCCUUCUGUGACCCUGCCGAAAAUCAGCCUUCUCUUUGCUCGCACACCGAUAGACGAUACAUAUUACAGCGCAGUACAAGGAGAAGCGUGGCCGAGCGUGGAAUGGGCUCCACAAAAGCGAUGCAUUCUCCAGGUGUACCGUAGUGCCUCUACAGUACGACAGCUGCGGAUAAAUUGUGGAAAAAAAUGUGUACACGAUAACCUGUUUAGUUACACGUGAAACACGCGGGUUAAUGUAUAAUAAUGUACCAUAAAUCUUCUAAAUGACAUUUAAUUAUAUGUGUACAGUGAGGGAAAA